AUGGGGCGCAGCAGGGGAGAAAACUUUGCAAUGUGCGAAAGCACGACAAGGUUAAUCCGAGUGAUUUCUGCUAAAGGAAUCUUUUGUCAGUCCUAGAAACACUGUUGAAUAAGGGGUGGGCAAGUUCUGGUGUCAGCCGCCGCGGUAAAACCAGCACCUCAAGUGGUCAGGAUGAUUAUUGGGCCUAAAGCAUCCGUAGCCUGUUUUGUCAGUUUUCGGUUAAAUCCAUACGCUCAACGUAUGGGCUGCCGGAAAUACUGCAAAACUAGGGAGUGGGAGAGGUAGACGGUACUCGGGAGGAAGGGGUAAAAUCCUCUGAUCCCUCGAUGACCACCUGUGGCGAAGGCGGUCUACCAGAACACGUCCGACGGUGAGGGAUGAAAGCUGGGGGAGCAAACCGGAUUAGAUACCCGGGUAGUCCCAGCUGUAAACUAUGCAAACUCAGUGAUGCAUUGGCUUGUGGCCAGUGCAGUGCCGCAGAGAAGUCGUUAAGUUUGCCGCCUGGGAAGUACGUACGCAAGUAUGAAACUUAAAGGAAUUGGCGGGGGAGCAC
rnacentral:rRNA from 1 species